ACACUUGGACAGGAUUUUCACUGAAACACUCAAUUGAAUUCAUUAGUAAUCACAAGAUAUACUCAAAUGCUUUGAGCUCAUCAAAAUCAAAUGGGAUUUUAAUCAAUCACUCCACAACCAUACAAUAUUCUAAAAAUAUACAUAUAAUCCAUGCAUCAAAUUCGAAAUCACGAAUAAUUCGAUUUGUAAAACAGAUAUUUAGUUUGCCGAUAAAUCUAGUAAAGAGGUUACAUCACUUACCUUGCGAACGCGAUCCACGACAAAUCCAAUUAAUUCCACAAAUCCCUUCCAGAACCUAAUAUUCAAAAAUCGUAUUCAUCUUUUAAAAUUCAUCACAAUAAAUAUAUAUAAAGACUUAAAUUUUUAAUAUCCUCCUAUGGCUGGCAUUAUUAUUAAAUUAUUUAAUAAUUAAAUAAUAUCCUAAUAUCCUCCUUGCCUAGCACCCCAAGUUUGGAUUCAUACCCGUAAACCAUUCUCUUUCUUUAUUAUUAUUAAAUUAUUUUCCUUUUCUUUUCUUUUCUUUUCUUUUCUUUUCUUUUUCUUUUUCUUUUUCUUCUUCUUCUUUUCUCUUUUCUUUUUCCUUCUUUUCUUUUUCUUCUUUCUUCUUUUCUCUCCCGACUC
rnacentral:lncRNA from 1 species